rnacentral:rRNA from 1 species
AUUGAACGCUGGCGGCAUGCUUUACACAUGCAAGUCGAACGGCAGCGCGGGCUUCGGCCUGGCGGCGAGUGGCGAACGGGUGAGUAAUGCAUCGGAACGUGCCCAGUAGUUGGGGAUAGCCCGGCGAAAGCCGGAUUAAUACCGCAUACGACCUGAGGUUGAAAGCGGGGGACCGAAAGGCCUCGCGCUAUUUGAGCGGCCGAUGUCGGAUUAGCUAGUUGGUGGGGUAAAGGCUUACCAAGGCGACGAUCCGUAGCUGGUCUGAGAGGACGACCAGCCACACUGGGACUGAGACACGGCCCAGACUCCUACGGGAGGCAGCAGUGGGGAAUUUUGGACAAUGGGGGCAACCCUGAUCCAGCCAUGCCGCGUGCGGGAAGAAGGCCUUCGGGUUGUAAACCGCUUUUGUUCGGGAAGAAAUCCUCUGGGCUAAUACCCCGGGGGGAUGACGGUACCGGAAGAAUAAGCACCGGCUAACUACGUGC